UGAGGAAUAUUGGUCAAUGGGCGAGAGCCUGAACCAGCCAAGUAGCGUGCAGGAUGACUGCCCUAUGGGUUGUAAACUGCUUUUAUGCGGGAAUAAAGUGCACUACGUGUAGUGUUUUGUAUGUACCGCAUGAAUAAGGACCGGCUAAUUCCGUG
rnacentral:rRNA from 1 species